GAUGAACGCUGGCGGCGUGCCUAAUACAUGCAAGUCGAGCGAACGGACGAGAAGCUUGCUUCUCUGAUGUUAGCGGCGGACGGGUGAGUAACACGUGGAUAACCUACCUAUAAGACUGGGAUAACUUUGGGAAACCGGAGCUAAUACCGGAUAAUAUUUUGAACCGCAUGGUUCAAAAGUGAAAGACGGUCUUGCUGUCACUUAUAGAUGGAUCAGCGCUGCAUUAGCUAGUUGGUAAGGUAACGGCUUACCAAGGCAACGAUGCAUAGCCGACCUGAGAGGGUGAUCGGCCACACUGGAACUGAGACACGGUCCAGACUCCUACGGGAGGCAGCAGUAGGGAAUCUUCCGCAAUGGGCGAAAGCCUGACGGAGCAACGCCGCGUGAGUGAUGAAGGUCUUCGGAUCGUAAAACUCUGUUAUUAGGGAAGAACAUAUGUGUAAGUAAAUGUGCACAUCUUGACGGUACCUAAUCAGAAAGCCACGGCUAACUACGUG
rnacentral:rRNA from 1 species